AAUCAACGCUGGCGGCGUGCCUAACACAUGCAAGUCGAACGCGGUUAUCCCGCAAGGGAUGACUGAGUGGCGAACGGGUGAGUAACGCGUGGGUGACCUACCUUCGAGUGGGGGAUAACGUCCCGAAAGGGACGCUAAUACCGCAUAACAUCCUGCCUUUGAACAGGUAGAGAUCAAAGCCGGGGAUCGCAAGACCUGGCGCUUGAUGAGGGGCCCGCGUCUGAUUAGCUAGUUGGUGGGGUAACGGCUC
rnacentral:rRNA from 1 species